rnacentral:rRNA from 1 species
CAGUAGUUCUAUGGCCUGGGGGGCCCUGUCCUCCAGCUGUGGUUCUAUGUCUUUACACACACACCGAAAUAAAGUCUAAUGGAAUGUAUGUCGCGUUUAACGCAAUGAAAUACAACUUUCAGCAACGGAUCUCUUGGCUCUCGCAUCGAUGAAGAACGCAGCGAAAUGCGAUAAGUAAUGUGAAUUGCAGAAUUCAGUGAAUCAUCGAAUCUUUGAACGCACCUUGCGCCCUUUGGCUAUUCCGAAGGGCAUGCCUGUUUGAGUAUCAUGAACAUCUCAACUCUCAUGGCUUGCCGUGAUGAGCUUGGACUUUGUGUGGUCUUGCUGGCCUGUGGUCAGCUCCUCUCAAAUGAAUUAGCCUGCCGGUGUUUGGUGGGAUCACAGGUGUGAUAACUAUCUACGCUUGUGGUUUUCCACCAGGUAACCCUCAGCAAUGGAGGUUCACCGGAGCUUAUAAAUGUCUCUCCCCAGCGAGGACAGAUUUUGACCGUUUGAUCUCAAAUCAAGGUA